CAGAGAAAGUCCAUGAAGAUGGACAGUUCUGUUUUGAUUGACAGUUGUCAUGGGUAGGCCUAUUGAGAACAAAAUUGGGUGAGUAUUGAUUCUGUCCACUCUCUGGAUUGUCCCCCUUUGACUGCUAAUAUAAGCGACCAUGCACGUGCAUUCAACACUCGGCCAGGUGAUUUUGAGGUGACAACAAGUCAAGUUCAGUUUAUCAAGAUGGAUCGUGCUAUUUGGAAUGGCAGUAAGAAAGUGCACGUAUUAUCAGUUUUGAAGAAAUACAGGGUAAAUGGCAAUCCACCAAAUACUGUUGUCAAUUUUGAAGUAGGAAAGAAUACAGAAACUUUGUCGAUGCAGAAAUUAAAGAAUUAUUUGGAAACCGAGAUGGAAUUGAAUACCACUGAGUUGUGUGACAUUUUAGGUAUUGAAUUGAAACGACAAAACCUUGUCCUUCUAGCUAUGGCGGCAAUUUUAGUUGCUAAUGAGGAAGAGGAAGCGCAGUUGGGGAAUGAAUCUGAUGAGGAGCCAGCCCGUAAGAAGAAACGCACUAAGGAACCGGCGAAGACGGAAAUUGAGAAAGAGGUAGCCGAGUUAAAAAGGGUAGUUGAUCAACAGCAGAAAGUUCAAAAUGAAGAAUCGGUCGAAUCCGCUCUCCGUCAGGUGAAAGAAUACGGUAGUCGAACAUUUGAUUAUAACCCAGACGUCUUUCUGCAGAAGCUAAUUACUUUGGAAAAAAGAGCUAGGAAGACGAAUCAUCCUGAAAGUGAAACCUUCUCGUUUGUUUUACAGCGUUUUAAUCAUAAUAAGUUUCAUCCUCGAGUAGGGAGCUUAACCGUAUCUAUGCUGUCAACAGCUAACGAGUCUUAAGAUUUUGAAAAAGGAACACGAAUUCAUGAAGUCGUUUCCUAACCCGAUGCCUCAAAUGCAUGGCGGUUUUGUUCAGGAACCGAUCCGUAAUGGUUAUAGACCUACAUCAGAAAGAUCAGGUCCAAGAUGUUAUAAUUGUAAUGAGUUUGGACAUUUUGCUAGAAAUUGUUUCAAAAAAUGAGUUCUCCCCAAUGAAAAUGUUUUAUUUUUUAGUCGAAUGUUGGAGUGUACAUGAACAACUUGGUCUCCCGAAUAUCUUAUGACGGCAAUGCAUUAUUGUGUACAGAACAUCCAAGCGCAGAGGACGUAAUUGAUAAAGGGUUACAUCCAGAUUUGAGCUUGAUCCCCUUUAGAAGAACUGACGAAUUUAGGGCAGGGAACAUCCACAACUGUUUUCAAGAGUGGGAGAAAAUUGUCGAAAACAAUCGCAUAGAUAACAUUGAUGUUUUGGAUGUCAUUAAAAAUCGUGUCAAUAUUUUGGAAUAUAUACCUUUUUGUGGAACUUUCGCCGGUUAGGAAUAUGAAGAAAAUUUUCCACCGUCUAAACGAUUUCCGAAUGCUAAAAGCUGCGAACAGUUUCGGGUUUUCAUUUGUAGUGAGAUAAGAAACAGGUUGAAAACGGGAGCAAUUUCGGUUUGUAGUUCAAGUGAUAAACCGUAUCUAAUUUCGCCAUUAACGGUAGAGCCUACGAAGACCCGUUUAUGCUUAGACCUCAGAUUUUUGAACUGUUGGAUGAAAGAUACGCCUUUUACAUUGGACACUCUUAACAAUGUACCUAGAAUUAUAGAGAAAAAUACCUUUAUGUCAAAAUUAGAUGAUAAAUCCGGGUAUGACCACGUGUUAAUUUCGGACGAGUCAAAGCCAUUGGUAGGAUUUUCGUGGAAUGAUGUGUAUUAUGUAUGUAAUACCAUUCCUUUUGGGUGGAAAAAUUCAGCUUUCGUUUACCAUAGUCUUAAUUUAACAGUGGCCUCAUAUUUAAGGACGUUAUCAAUUAAUAAUUUAGUUUACAUCGACGACCGUCUUAUUGGGCAAAUUUCAAACCACAUGUAUCCAAAUAGUGAUUAUUUCUUGAGGGCCUCAGUUGCUUUGUAUGUGACCUGUCAAAUUGUUGUUCGAUUGGGUUAUUUUGUUGGUUUAGGAAAGUCAGUUUUUACACCCGUACGAUCAUUUGUGUUUUUAGGUAUGUGCAUAGAUUCACUAAAACAGGCAUUUUUGGUUCCCGAAGAAAAGUUAGAAAAAUUUGCUAUUUUGAGAGAGUCUAUUUUGGCUAAGCAAACGGUAUCUUUAAAAGUACUCCAACGGUUUAUGGGUAAAUGCAUCUCAUUUAUGCUGGCUGUGCCUGGGGCACGGCUUUAUAUUUCAGACAUAUGUAUAGCACUGUAUAGGUCCGGGAGCUUUAAAGGACGAGGUCAUAUUUUGGCGAUUCGUAGAUAAUUGGGACGGUUUCUUACCUUGGAAAUUAGAAAAGCAUAAGGUAGUAACAUUAACAACCGAUUCCUCGAAUUAUAAGUGGGCUGGAAAAUUUGAAAAUAAUGACAUUAGUUUAGAAUUCGGUGAUUAUUGGCAUGCCGAGGCCAGGGCUAUGAUUCCCUCUUUGAAGUCGUUUAAGAAUUAUAUUCUAGACUCGCGUAUUGAUAUUUUAUGUGAUUGCAAGUCAUUUAUUGAUGCUUGGAAUGGUCAAGGUUCAAAGUCUCCUGAGGUAACUGUAGUGCUUAAAGAACUUUUCGUUUUAGUAAGAGAUUUGAGAAUUUAUUUAAAUUUCUGUUUUGUAACUUCCAAACAAAAUCCCGUAGAUGAUUUAUCGAGGUCAUUUUCCAAAGAGGAUACUAUGUUAUCGAAUAUAGCCUGGGAAAGGGUACAACAGUUAAGGACAGGAAACUGUCAUACAUUAGAUUUAAUGGCACUCGACUCGAACGCUAUGGUAGGAAGGGAUGGUAAGCAAAUUAAGCAUUUUACUCCAUAUGCCACACCCAACUCUGCUGGAAUAAACAUGUUUGCACAAGAUAUUGAUUCCGCGGAGAUAGUGUUAUGUAUUCCCCCCUUUAAA